rnacentral:lncRNA from 1 species
GACAUUCAGUUUACAAAAUCAUAAUUUCAAUCUGUUUUAAGUUUACUAUUUUGUAAUUGUGUGUUCUCAAUGUGUUGUUGAAUUCCUGAUUAAUGUAGUCACGGAGCUUAUUUCUGCUGUGUUCUCUCUAUAGUGGUGGUUGGACUUCUUGAAGUUUUGUGAUUUUGUUGAUCUUGGCUAUAUUUAGGCAAUCUGUCCACAAAGGCUUGAAUCCUCUUUGGAAGAGGAAUCUAUUUUCAGCCUUGGUUGCAGGGAUUCCACUUUCCUAACUCUUAGUUGCCUUUUGAGGAUGUGCCAUUUAACACUUUAUCUCCUGAAGUGCAUCUGCUUUCGGUUAUUUUUGAUCUUUCAGACAUCCAGCAUAAGUUCCAGGGCCAUAUCCUCCCCACCAGAUCAUCUGUAACCUGUUUGAUCCAAUCCUGGUUCUUCUUUCAGCCACUGGCCACUUACUCUAUGGUUCAAUCAGGAGAAUGGAGACAAGUUUUUUUGCUUUGAUUCUGUUUCCCUGCAAAGCCCUGAACAGUGCUUGUUCUGUCGGAAUCUGGCAAUUUGGAGUAGAAUCUUUUCUCAUGUAACACUGAUGCUGACAUUUACACAACGUACUUCUUUUCUUUCUUUUUUUUUUGAGAUGGAGUCUUGCU